CUCUGUUAACCAGGCUGAAUGUCCUGUUAGACUGUCAAUUCCGUGUGGGGAGAGGUGGCGUCUCUGGCGCCUGGAGGAGAGCCUGGCGGAGAGUAGAAGCUCCGCAGCUGUGUGUAGGAUGAGGGAACGACUUAAGUGAGUACAAGGUGAGCACCUCAGGACAAGCACAGUGUCACAGUCACAGGACACGGUAUGCAUCCCCAUCUCACGGCAGGUGCCCAGCCCCCAGUGGACGUGCAGUCAAGGGUGAGUGAAUGAAGGUGAGGAGAGGAGAGAGGAUGGAGCGAGGAGAGAAAAGGGAAGGUUGGAUUCACAAAGCAGUUGCAGGCAUAGGCACUACUUUGUUCCUUCCACCAGGGGGCGCAAGAGGCCCAGGAGCCUGGCCCUCGGUUCUUGAGGAUCAGCCUUAACACCGGCAGAGGUUUGGGGUUGUUUGCUUCCACAGAAGAAGGAGAAAGCAAUGGCACCCUACUCCAGUCCUCUUGCCUGGCAAAUCCCAUGGACGGAGGAGCCUGGUAGGCUGCAGUCCAUGGGGUCGCUAGGAGUCGGACACGACUGAGCGACUUCACUUUCACUUUUCACUUUCCUGCAUUGGAGAAGGAAAUGGCAACCCUCUCCAGCGUUCUUGCCUGGAGAAUCCCAGGGACGCGGGAGCCUGGUGGGCUGCCGUUUAUGGGGUCGCGCAGAGUCGGACAUGACUGAAGCAAUUUGGCAGCAGCAGCAGCAGCAGCAGCAGCUUCCACAGAAGGAUUCAGGAGGAGCCAGGAUCCGAGGAGGGGAGUCCACCCAAAGCUGAAGUGCCUCAGCAACAGGCCUGGCACUGACCGGGCCUGGCCUGCCUGGUGGGACCAGAAGGAGCCAGCUGCCCAUCCUGGGAUCUCCGUGCACCCAGGCGAGGCCCACCUUGGGACAGUUUCCUCUCCAAUACUUUGACCAUCUGAUGUGAAGAGCCGACUCAUUAGUAAAGACCCUGAUGCUGGGAAAGAUUGAGGGCAGGAGGAGAAGGGGGUGACAGAGGAUGAGAUGAUUGGAUGGUAUCAUCAAUGGACACGAGUUUGAGCAAACUCUGGGAAAUAGUGAAGGACGGGGAAGCCUGGCCUGCUGCAGUCCUGGGGCUCACAAACAGUCAGACACAACUGAGUAACUGAACAACAACACAAUGUUCCUAGAUGUGAGUUUCUUCUUAUUUAUCUUCUUGGUAUUCGGUUUCCAGAAGUUCUCUACAGUUCUAGAAACAUCUCAGCUAUUGUCUCUUUGAAUAUUACCUCUUUCCUAUCUAUCUGCAUCAUUCCAGAGCUUCAAUUUGGCACAAUUCGAUUUUUCUCUCCUUUAUAUCUGUUAAUCUCAUACUGUCCUUGUCUUGUCUUUCUGGAUUACAUUCUAGAUCAUUUUUUCAGCUCUAGCUUCCAGCUUACUAAUUUUUCCCUCAGCCAUAUCUAAUCAGCUACUAAAUCUAUCCACUGAGUUUUAAGAUUCAACACGUUAUUUUUUACUUCCAGAAAUUCUUUUUGAUUAUUUUCCAAGUUAUUUAUAAUUAAUAAAUAACUUAUUUCCUGUACUUUUUUGAGUUUCUCUUUUUUCUUUGUAGAACAAACAAACAAAAACCUUAUAUUCUGUGUCUAAAACUUUAAAUAUGUAAUGCCUUUGUGGGUCUAUUUUAGCUGAUUCCUCACUCAGUGUGCUUUAUUUGCAUAUGUGUUUUGUGACUUGGACCAUAAGCUGUAAUUUUACCUGAGAUUUCACCUGUGGUGAGUCUUUGCUUACUAGGAUGUGGUUAAGUUCCUAAAGAGAGGAUUACAAUUGAUUCAACCAGUUACCUGAGUAGUACCAACUUGAAAUCACUUUAAAUUUUCUGUUUGAGUAUUUGUGGGGUGGGUGGAAUGCAGACCCAGCUGAGCCCUGGCUGUGGUUAUGAAAUCUGAGGAGUUAUUUAUUAUUUUUCCUACCAUCCAGAAUGACACAGGUCAGAUUCCCUGCUAUAUGGAGGUUUACUUCUCAUUCUCCUUACACAGAGAGUUCUGGGGUAUACCUUUGAGAAGCCAACUUUAUCCGGAUAACCCCUUGGCCAUACCUCUUGUCCCAGCAAGAGUGAAAGCCGUCCAAGUGAAAGGCCAAGUUUCCCAAGGUUCUAAAGACACUGUCUCAGGAUGAAGACCAGUUUUGGUCCUUGCUUUCCAACCUGUGUUCCUAUUUUCAAUUCAUCUUGAAUUCUGUAGAUUUCUUUCUUUUGUGCCAGCUUGGUGAUAUAUUUAAGAUUAAAUGUUGCUUAAUUAAAAUUGUUAUUUCAUCUGAAAGGGUGAUUCAAGGCAUCUAAUCCAUUGUACUGUUAGAAACGAACAUCUUUUUUAGACUGAGGUUGAGACAAAAGUAAUGCAACCUUGACACACACAAUUCUUUGUCAAUUGUUCUGGUUCCAACACCAGUUGUCCUCAAAUGCCCUCUACUUAAAGGGUGGCAGAGAGAAACAUGGCAAUAAAUCUUUAAUUGCUGCAGAUCAAAUGUAAACGUAUAGUCUAAUGCAGUAAGAUAACAAGUGAUUAGAGGGGAGACUAUUAUUAAUCACAAAGCAGGAAUUGUAUCUCCUCACAUUCAGGGCUUUGUCAAGGAAAUAAACCAGCUGUAGGCACCAAAUCAGACUCUCUAUCAGGCUAGAUUGCAUUGUUACAACUGACAGGGUAUAUGAUAUCAGUCCAAAGUUUAAGCCUCAUGAAAUAGGGGAGAAGAUGAGGGGGUGAAAAUGAUGUAGAAAUAUGUAUUUCUCUAGAGUUCCAGCUUCCAACAUGGAGGAAAUGGUUGAAUUACUUCAGUCAUCUCUAGGAAGUAACGGUGGAGAUUUUGACAUUUUGCUUUUAGAAUUCAUUGCUAAUUCCUGUCAAGAUCAAUCAUAAGGUUCUUGGGAAGAGAAGAGAACAGGGAACUGGGGUACUAAGAUUACUUCAAGGACAUAGAACAAAGACUCAGUUGCUGUAAUCUAUUUUUCUGUGUCCAGCGUCCCACUCAGCAUCUCCGUCUCAGCCUUGUGAGGAGACAACAGCUGGUGUUUUCAUGCCUAGGCACCUGAACUACUUGCCUAAAUGUUCUCUCUUGACCUAUGCUCACCCAUGUUUUAGGUUUCACUGGAAGGAAAGGCAGGGAGAAUGUGGGGGAAUGUUGGCAGCUGGGAUGUUAUUCUCCUUUCUAGGCAGGUCUAAGUCAUAGAUUCAUUGACCAUCAGCCCUUGAUGGCCCUCAAAUUCUCCAUCACUUGACAGAUGAGGAGCCUGGUGAUGAAUAUGGUACAGAGGUAUGUGAAGUAUGUGAAGUAAACUAGGGAGCAGAGGGAGGGCAGAAAAGAAAGACUAGACAGAAGCAACUGACUUGUCUGGACAGAGAAGAUGAGUGGGGAGGAGGAGGGUUAAAGGGUAAAGAGAUAGAAACCCCUGAUGGUUUGAUUCUCUUCACCACAUUCUUUCUGGGCUUGGCAGCUGGCACUCAGAGGUCAGGCAACUCCUCCCUCCCAGAAACCCCAGCUGAGGGACACUUCUAGAGAAUGUGGGUUGAAGGAAGGCCGUUGGUGGUGGCCAAGCUAGGAAUUUAAGGGCUGCCCUCCUACUCCUUGUUACCACAAGUGGCCACCACACCCUUUCCUGCUGGUAGCCACUGCCGGGAGAACCUGUCCUGUUUGCCUCUCUGGUUUAAUCUGGUUGAAGACCUGUGGCAUCAGACUACUAACAGCUGUGGUCCCAAACACACCACAGUGAAUUCCACCUGGAUCCUGCCUCAGGCUCUGCUUAAAUACGCCAAUCAGAUCACGGGAUUUAGUUUCUAACCCUCAAGAGAUUCUCUCACACACAAUGUGCUUUCAUUUCUGCACAAAGCAGAGGGAAGAGGAGCCAGAUGGUGGUGGAAAGAGCAAGACCUGGAUUUCGAGGAAGUAGACUUGGCCUCUAGUCCCCGCUUUGCAAUUCACUAGUUGUAAAUUUGAAUGGGUCACCUAACUUGCCGAGCUCUCUGGAUCUAAAUCUUGCUUCUGUGUCCUCUAGAGCACAAGUCUCCAAGGGAAGGCAUGACACAUGAUCCACUGGGUACAGGAGGUUGAUAGCAAAGCCUUUCUUUUUCAUUCUUUUCUUUUUAACUUUAUUUACUUGUUUGUUUUUGGCUGUGCCGGGUCUUCAUUCCUGCAAGGGCUUUCUCUAGUCACAGCGAGUGGGGCCUACUCUCUAGUCAGGGCGUGGGGGCUCCUCUUGUCUUGGAGCAUAGGCUCCAGGGCACUCAGACUUCAGCAGCUGUGGUCUUGGGCUCUAGAGCACAAGCUCGAGAGUUGGGGCACACAGGCUCAUCUGUUCCGUGGCAUGUGGGAUCUUUCCAGAUCAAGGAUCAAACUCAUGUCUCCUGCACUGGCAGGCAGGUUCUUUACCACUGAACCACCAGGGAAGCCUCUCAUUUGCUUUUUUACUUUUUAAAAAUUAAGUAUUAGUGGGACUACCCUGGUAGUCCAAUUGUUAAGACUCCAAGGUUCUUCUGCAGAGAGCGUGGAUUCAAUCCCUGAUCUGGGAACUAAGAUCCCACAUGCUGUGUGGCCAGAAAAAAAAGAAAAAAAAUUAACUGUUGGUAUGUUUAAUAUACAGAUUGACACUGCACCCUCAGUUGGUCCUCUUAUCAGAUGGUCCCAUGUCAGUUAUGUUGGGUGAGGCAUCUGAGUGCAAAGGAGUGUUAGGAAAGUCGAUCACAAGUAUCAAGACCAUCAUUUGCAAUAUGAAUUUACAUUCAUUAAUGUUGAUGAUGAAUCUCACCCCAACUGUAUAGUUUGACUUGAAAUAUGAGCUAAUGAUUGAACUUUUAAAGUCAUAUUGGGAAGCCUCAUAUUCAUAUAUUCAUAUUUUUUGCCAAUUGUUGUUGUUCAGUUGACCUCAUGAGCUGCAGCACCCCAGGCUUCCCCGUCCUUCACUAUCUCCCAGGGUUUGCUCAAACUCAUGUCCACUGAGUCAGUGAUGUUACCCAACCAUCUCAUCUUCUACUGCUCCCCUUCUCCUCUUGCCCUCAGUCUUUCCCAGCAUCAGGGUCUUUUCUAGUGAGUCAGCUCUUUGAAUCAGGUGGCCAAAGUAAUGGAGCUUCAGCUUCAGCAUCAGUCCUUCCAAUGAAUAUUCAGGUUUGAUUUCCUUUAGGAUUGACUGGUUUGAUCCCUUGCUGUCCAAGGGACUCAAGAAGGUUUCACAAUCAGAAAUGUUUAGAGAUCACGUCCUGGCUAUAGGAUAUGCAAAUGAUACAAAGCAGCACAACAUCACUACCAUUUAGUCCAGAGUGAUCCCUGGUGGAGUGGAGACGAACAUCAGAAACACCAGCCUUAACAAUGUCAACAUCUUCAAUGACAUAGGGCAAUGAGGCAAAUAUACAGAGAGAGGGGUGUCCAUUGUCUGUAGUGUUUGUCCCAGGACAGAGGCCAAAGGAAAAGAGCUGUCAACAGCCACAUCUUUCUGGAGUUGAGGCCCCAGGGAAGAGUUGUUUAAUGCAUUCCUGGGUGACUUACGGAAUGUCCUUCCUGUUCUUCUGGAGAAAGAAGCAGGCAUGCCCAGGAUGGGGCUUGUGAGGCUUCUGCUCACUGGUAUGAAGAAAAGGAGAUCAUUGCAUAAUCACUUUCUGUGGAGACUUUCCUCUGAGUAGAGGGGGCUUCUUUUGAAAAUAGUCAGCCUUUCCCUACUGACCUCUUCAGCAGCGAUGUGACGCUAAGGGCGCUCUUAUCUGCUCCCGGGACAUCUACUCCCAUGCUGUAGAGCCUUUCCACCCACCAGCCUCACCAGGCUCUCCAAAAUACACCUCCCUAGAGGAGCAAAAUAAGAAUUUCCCCAAGGGCUAAGGGAUAGGGUCCCUUCAUUUCCUGCUAGAGUGAUCGUAGUUGCUGUAAAACUGACUGCCACAGGCCCUUGUAGGUGGGAAAGGACUUGAGCCUCUUGUUUAUUCCACUGGCCUCCACAGUUGGGAUGGGGGCUUGAAGAGUCAUCAUUGUCUGCUGGGGUUUGGAUGGGAGCCCAGCAAAUACCUGGGAGCCUCGGAGAGCUCUGGAGCUGCCUCUGCUGGGAGAUUCAGGUGGGAGUCUCCACCUUCCUCUGUCCGGCCCCCAGGCUCCACUUCACUGUGCCAGCAAGCGCCAUGUGUGGGCCAGCAGGCUGGCAGCCUAGGGCUCAAGGGUAUGGGGGCAGAUGGGAAAGAUAAGAGCCAAAAGCCCCAAGGAUGGAGACAUGAGCUGGGCUACUGGGAAUGGAGCCCUGGGGCCAGACGGAUUUGGAUUGAAUCAACAGUGAUGAGCUACUCUGUCUAGGGCAAGCCAAGUCUGUGGACACUCACUAUGUGUGGCCUUGCAUGUAACACCUCCACCACUAUUCUGUUUUGGGGAAGUCAGGAUUCCUGACAUGCCAUAAAACUUCAUGAGGCUGAAAGAACCGCCCCAAAGCUGGAAAAUGCAGGAUCUUGGUAGGAUAACAGCUGAGUUAAGGCCACAAAGGCAAACAUUGGGUGGAUACAAGCUUCCUCAAUGCCUUAACCCUGGCAAUGUGGCCUUGGAUGUAGAAUUCUCCGAAGCCUUAGACUCUUCACGGGAUUCUGAGAGUGCCCUGUGCAAGCCAGGCUGGGCUCUCAAAGGCCUUUCUGGUAAUCUCAUGUUGAGGGUUCUAAAUGAAGGGAUCUCACAAUAAAAUGGAUUUUUCAAACUUUAGGUCACAACCCACUGUGGAUUGCGAAAUCAAUUUGGUGGAUCCCAAAAAUAAAGACAAAAAGAAGAAAGGGAGGGAGGAAGGAAGGAAGAGAAAAAUAAUUUAAACAUUGCAGGGCAUCUCUUGUUUUAUAAAAUGUGUAUCUUCAUGGGUAUACUGAGCCAUGACAAAAAUCAUUUCUUACUAUCAGUUGCAGUUAAAAAUUCGAUAAAACUAUCCCAGGAAGAUCCUUUUGUUUGGAUUGCUUUUACUGCUUACAGUUUCUUCCAUUUAUUCAUUCCAUUUUCACCAUGUGGAACAUAAACAAAGAGAACAACCCUAACCUAGCUUAGAAAAAAUAAAUAAGUUUACCUUUCUGGACUUUUUUUUUUUUUUAAUCUAUAAAACAAGAGAACUAACUGGGAUGACCUGGUAGCUUUUGUUUUUAUGAAUCUAUAACUCUGUGUCUCUCUGAUGUUACGGAGUCUGCUGAAAGUGAAAAGCGUUAGUCGCUCAGUUGUAUCCGACCCUUUGCAACCCCAUGGACGGUAGACUGCCAGGCUCCUCUGUCCACGGAAUUCUUUAGGCAAGAAUACUGCAGUAGGCGGCUUCAGGGGAUCUUCCCAACCCAGGGAUAGAACCCGGGUCUCCUGCAUUGCAGGCUGAUUCUUUACCAUCUGAGCCACCAGCGAAGCCCCAGAGUUUUCUGAGUGAGUGUCUUUCCUUCCUUCCCACCAUACCCAUAACCAUAAAAAAUUUUUAGAAGAGAAAAGAGCCCUAAAAAAGGGAAAAGCAAACAGCUAGAUUGGAGUGCUACAGAGAGGGCUCAGAGGGCACAUUUUUAUCUGGAGAGCAGCCUGGAAGAGGGUAGGGCCUGGAGGGAUAGAUGAGAGGGAGCAGUUCCAGUACUGGGGGACGAUAAAAAGAAAUUGGUUAGCGAUGGGGCUAAUGAGUGCCACUUCCCCAGGUAGUGCAGUGGUAAAGAAUCUGCCUGCCAGUGAAGAAGAUGCAAGAGAUAUGGGUUCUCCCCCUGAGUUGGGAAGAUCCUCUGGGGUAGGAAAUGGUAACCCUCUCCAGUAUUCUUGCCUGGAAAAUUCCAUGGACAGAGAAACCUGGUGGGCUACAGUUGAUAGGGUCAUAAAGAGUCUAACACAAGUGUGCAUACACACACACUAAUGAGUACCUGUGCUGGGGAGUGGUUAAUGGCUAAUUCUGCCAAACUCAGAACCUCUGAGUUCUCCAAGGCUGGGUUAUCUAGUGUGUGAUCCAAUAGAUGAAAAGCCUAUAGACUUUUUUUUUUUUUUUUUUUGAGAGGCAGCAUGGAACCAUGAAAAGUACAGAGAGAUUUGAGUUCAAGUGGUUCUGUCACCUCUGCACAUCAGUUAUACCAUGGGGAGGGUAUUUUCCAGCCUGCCUGGCUCAGAAUGUCAUGAUGAAGGUCAAAUGAAGAGCUGUGAAAGACACUAUCAAUUACUAUGGAGCACUUAGUACUCAUCUUCUACCACUUUUUGAUAAGGUUUAUUUUCAAGAUGCCAGGUUCACCUGGCCAAAUAAGCACUACAAAGUGACUUUUGAGUGAUCAACUUCUUCCAGAGGUUCAUGGAACUUCCUGAGGGUGUUUCAAGGUGUUGGUUGGUAGCGGUUUCCUCUUAAACUCUCUUGCCCAUGAAAAUAGCUGCUAGCUUUCCCAUGGUGCUCUGGGCAAGGGGAUCCUUUCUUUGGCUUUCAUUACAAGCAGGGAAUCCAUCCAUCAGGCUGGCAGAAUCUUCCAAGGGGCACUUCCUUUCAUCUGUUUUCUCAGAAUGGAUAGCCCAUUCCCAAGGUCAAUCAAUCUGUGUUUCUUCUAUAUUUUAAAACCUUUCCAGAGAGAAAGUAUCAAUGAUAUUCUCUUAAUGAAUUGUUUCAGUGCUUAACAAACUUGGCUAUUUAAAGGUUCUUUUUUCUUUUUAGCCUUGGUCCCUUUCUCUUGAUCCAGUUAUUGAGAGUUUGAGAGGGCUGGGUUAUCCUAUAGCCUAGCAUAACUGUUUCAGAAAUGGAUGAGGCCACUGCAGCGACAACUUAUUGAGCUUUAGAACUGCCCCUCAUUUCAUAGCUGUGUAAUGUUGGGCAAAUCACUUAACCUCUCUGUAUCUCAAUGUCCCACCUGUUCAGCUUGUCCCUCUGAGCCAUGGUUUCCUCCUCUAUAAAAGGUGAAUGGCAACAUCUUCCCUGCCUGAACAGGGGUACCAUCUGGUGGAUGACUUCCUGGGCAUCUCUAUUAUAGAACAUUAGGUUGUAAUUACUAUUUAUGCAUCCUCCCACUGGACAGUGAGCUCUAAGGAGGGAACCACAUCCUUUUGGGCUCUCCUCUAGCAUCUACAGCGGUGCCUAGCACAUAGCCAUUCGCAUUUUCUACAGCGAAUUUUCCGCAUCCACCUACAAUUCUAAGUCUCAGAUGUGCUUCUCACCUCCUUCCAUCUCUUCACACCAAGGUCGCAUGGCAUGGUUGUGUGGGUGGUGUUGGGGCCCAGGGCCCAGGGAAGCUGAGACUCAGCUUGCUUGGAUGACACUUUCGAGACUGGCCAAGUACGUGGUCAGCCGUGGGGUCGCACCCGUGGGGACAUCGAGUAGGGAUACAGUGCAACUCCAGACUCGACUUCAGCCCCGUUGAGUUCCCUGGAGCUCGGCUGGGGUAGCGCGAAGGCGGCUGGCCCCCAAGAUCCCC
ensembl:lncRNA